CCUACGGGGGGCAGCAGUCGAGAAUUUUUCUCAAUGGGCGAAAGCCUGAAGGAGCGACGCCGCGUGGGGGAUGAAGGGCUUCGGCUCGUAAACCCCUGUCAUUCGCGAACAAACCUUCCGACCUAACAUGUCGGGAGCUGAUUGUAGCGGAAGAGGAAGGGACGGCUAACUCUGUGCCAGCAGCCGCGGUAAUACAGAGGUCCCAAGCGUUGUUCGGAUUCACUGGGCGUAAAGGGUGCGUAGGUGGUUAAGAAAGUUUGAUGUGAAAUCUCCGGGCUCAACCCGGAAAUUGCAUUGAAUACUUCUUGGCUUGAGGAUUGGAGGGGAGACUGGAAUUCUCGGUGUAGCAGUGAAAUGCGUAGAUAUCGAGAGGAACACCAGUGGCGAAGGCGAGUCUCUGGACAACUCCUGACACUGAGGCACGAAAGCUAGGGGAUCAAACGGGAUUAGAUACCCGUGUAGUC
rnacentral:rRNA from 1 species